CAGCAGCCGCGGUAAUACAGAGGAUGCAAGCGUUAAUCGGAAUUACUGGGCGUAAAGCGUGCGCAGGCGGUUAUAUAAGUCAGAUGUGAAAUCCCCGGGCUCAACCUGGGAACUGCAUUUGAGACUGUAUGGCUAGAGUGUGUCAGAGGGGGGUAGAAUUCCACGUGUAGCAGUAAAAUGCGUAGAUAUGUGGAGGAAUACCGAUGGCGAAGGCAGCCCCCUGGGAUAACACUGACGCUCAUGCACGAAAGCGUGGGGAGCAAACAGGAUUAGAUACCCCGGUAGUCCCUGUCUCUUAUAC
rnacentral:rRNA from 1 species